rnacentral:tRNA from 3 species
GCCACUUUAAUUCAGUAGAUAGAAUAAUGUGUUCGUACCACAUAUGUCGUAGGUUUGAUUCCUACAGGUGGCUCCA